AUUGAACGCUGGCGGCAUGCCUUACACAUGCCAGUCGAACGGUAACGGGCCUUCGGGUGCCGACGAGUGGCGAACGGGUGAGUAAUACAUCGGAACGUGCCCGAUCGUGGGGGAUAACGAGGCGAAAGCUUUGCUAAUACCGCAUACGAUCUACGGAUGAAAGCAGGGGACCGCAAGGCCUUGCGCGGACGGAGCGGCCGAUGGCAGAUUAGGUAGUUGGUGGGAUAAAAGCUUACCAAGCCGACGAUCUGUAGCUGGUCUGAGAGGAUGAUCAGCCACACUGGGACUGAGACACGGCCCAGACUCCUACGGGAGGCAGCAGUGGGGAAUUUUGGACAAUGGGCGCAAGCCUGAUCCAGCCAUGCCGCGUGCAGGAUGAAGGCCUUCGGGUUGUAAACUGCUUUUGUACGGAACGAAAAGCCUUCUUUUAAUACAGGAGGGUCAUGACGGUACCGUAAGAAUAAGCGCCGGCUAACUACGUG
rnacentral:rRNA from 1 species